rnacentral:lncRNA from 1 species
AAAAUGAAGAGACAUUCAUUUCCGCGCUCUUUUUCCGAGUGGCAACAUAAACUAUCAGCGACAGACACUAGCCGCUUAUAUAUAUAAAGAUAUAUUUGUUUUUAUAUUUAUGUAACACUUUCCUUACGGAAAUUAAAAGUUUUUUUUUUUUUUUUUUUUUUUUUUUUUUUAAAUUUUUUAUUGUGAAGUUAUGGUGUGAUGCAUACAGAAUUUUAAACUGUAGUAUAUUUGUUUUACCACAUUAUUUCCAAAAUGAUGAAUUUAAUAAAGCUUAAAAUUUAAAUUAUUUGUUAUUUCUGUGUUGAAAUGUAAUAGCUUUUUAUACAACCUUAGAUUAAAACAUACUUGUUUUCAACUAUCUAGAUGCUAGGCAGAGAAAAUUAAUGGCUUACAGAUUUUUUAGCAGUUUUUUAAUAUGUUCAUUUGCAGUUAUUUAUUUUGUUUCAGUUAAAUAUAUUGUUGAAAGACUCACUUUGUUAUCCUGUGUUACCUGCAUUCAGAAUCAGGAACUUGGACUUUAGAUGGUCUAGAUUUAAAUAGUCUUCAGUGUCACGUUUGUGGUAAAAUUCUAUCAAGAAGACAAACUUUGAAAAUACAUAUGCAAACCCAUAUGGAUUGUAGAAGCAUGUUUAAUUGUGAAUUUUGUCCUGCUGUCUUUAAAUGGAAAGAAAAUCUUACUCGCCAUGUUAGAAUUAAGCAUGCUUUGAUGUGGUUACAGAAACAGCAUGAGCUAUAAAAUGGCAACUCUUUUUUUUAAUACUUGGAUUGUACAGAAAUGAUUGACACAAUGGCUCUAACAACGAAACUAUUACACUAUGCAAAGGGAAAACAAGUGAAAUAGACACAAGGCUACAAUGAGCUAUUCAGAAUGCGGCCGCAAGCGAACAGUAUAAGUUAGCACUCGUCCAUUUCGCCGUCAUCAUUGAGAGCGUGGACAGCAAUGAUGGAAGGUGAUUAUCACGGUCAGCAUUGGACAUCGUAGUUCCUAUGGAUGGAAGGGAUACAGGAUAGUGAGAUCCAUCGUUGCAUGAUGUCUUUGGGCAGGAACAAAGCACCCUCAAGGUGUACCAUAUCCCAUUGGUUGGCCAAAUUCAGCAGUGGAGGGGAGACUGCAGCCAAAGGUGUCAGCUUUGGGAUGACCAGUAACAUCACAUACAGCAGCAAAUGUGGCAGCUGUGUCAUAUUUGAUCAUAGCGAACAGGCACAUAGCAUUCAACAAGAUGCUGGAAGAGCGCAUAACAUUCAACAAGAUGCUGGAAGAGCACAUAACAUUCAAGAAGAUGCUGGCUUGUGCAAGGAACAUUGGAGGUGACUGUACAUGGUGAUUUGGAGAUGACAGAUGUGUGUGCAAAAUAGAUGGAUCUUGGACCUCGGACUAUGCCUUGCUUGACAAGAUGAAGAACGCAGUCAGGGGCUAACAUGUUGAAUCUUCUGCCGAACUGUAUGCAACUGUCCAUUAGGUGGUGCACCAACGCCCCCCCAGACCGGUUUACCAAAGCCCUUCGGGACUUCACAGCCAGAUAGCAGAAGUAUAUUUGCAUGGGCGGGGAUUAUUUCUAACUGAUGUACUAUCAGUUUUGGGUUAAUAAAUUGUGUUCCGCUCUUUGGCAAAAUUUGUGUCAUUCAUUUCUGUACGACCCUAAAUGUUAGCUAAAUACGCUGUGAUACUCAACAUGGAAAAGAAAAAUUAUAUAUUUUACAAUCUGUUCUACCAUGUGUGAUAUAUUUUUGUGUUUGAGAAUAAGCUUAAUGCUAUUUCAGUGAGUUGAUAUGGAAAUGUUCUGUUUGUGGAAAGGACUUAGCUACAAAAUACUCUUUAGCUAGACAUGAGCGUCGACAUUUUGAAGAAACUCCUCAAUAUUCAUGUGAACUGUGUGGUUUACAUUUCUCAUGGAAAGAAAGCUUAAAUUUUCAUCUAAGAAGAAAACAUAAUGUAUCAAAAGGCCAAAUCUGAUAACUUCAGUGAAUAGAGGAUAAACCGAAAUCAACAUUGCUGAAUUUUCCACUGCCUUUAAAUCAUUCCUGAACAUUAUCAUCAUUGCUGUACCAAGAACAAUGUAAAUGUUUCUUCAGUUUGCUAAAUAAAAAGGAGCCACCUGUGGUUAAUUAGUGUACACAUUGGAUGGAAGAGAAACCUAAAAUCUGCAUUGCUGAACAGCAGUCUAGGAAAUGGGAGAUGGAACUUUGUUGUGCAAAAGAGCAACACUUUUUUGCUAAGAUGGCGGCGGCAUUUUAACUUUAUGGCUUGUCAGAAGUAGAGCUGUAAUAAAAUUAUAAGUACCCAUUGUAUUGUGGCUUAUUAUUAAUAAGCAGUAGUCCGUUUUCAUUCCAAAAAAAUGGUACCCAAAUUUUGCUGGUAGAUUUCUGGAUUCUGAGCUUGUGGGAUUGGAAGAGAUUCUCAAUGUUUCCACAUUAUGUUCUUUUAUUUCAUUUCUGGGUCAAAAUAGUGAAGCUAUAUUUCAUGUCUUGUCAGCAGCCAUAAAAAAAUUUUCUGCAUUUAUCAUGGAGAGUAGUUCUCAAGAAUGUUUAGUCCAGCAUUUCUUCAUUUAUGGCAUCAAUAUUCUUAAUAUCAUCUGCAUCACUUUUGACAUCCCCUGUAUUUCAUGCAGAAUUUUUCCACUGAUCCAUAUGUAGUGAAAAGCCAAUGAAAUCAAGUCAGGAAGUACAGCUGCGAUAUCUGUGGGCGAUUAUACACAAUGUCUAGCAACCUUAGCAGACAUCGUAAAACUCACCAAGGGGCAGCUUAUCAAUGUGGCAUUUGUGGUGUAACAUGUUCUCGAUCUGAUAACUUAAAAGUGCACAUGAAAAAUCUUCAUGGUGUUUUAUAAAUUAUUUACUUAAUAUUUUGUUCUUUAUUGCAAAUUAUGCGGUACAUAGGAUAUUUAUAAAAAAAAGACGUUACCAAUGUAAGAUCUGUAAUGUUCUUUUCACAAAGUCUUAUAAUCUGAAUAGACAUUUAAGGGAAAAACAUUUACUACGAACCACUUAUACAUGCAAGCUAUGCAACUUCCCUUGCAAAAGAAGAGACAGACUAAAAAUGCAUUUCAUGACAGUACAUUCAUCUUUUUGUGGUAAAGGGGAAAACCUUUGAAUAUCUUCUUGAGAUAUGUGAUUUAAGGGGCCUUAUUCUUUAUAAAGUGCAAUGUUGAUAUAUGUAUUCUUGUUUUUGUUGAAACAAAUAUUUUGUAUAAUGUCAUAUUCAAAGAGUGUUAUUACAGUUUUUAAAAGUUUUAAACUGAGACUUCUAAGAUUAGUAAUUUUUUUUAAUAUAAAAUUAUAAUUUUUUACCUUUUAGUACCAUUUUAAUGUACAUGUAAACUGAAUUUUAUAUCAAUAUUUUGUUUGUUUUUGAGAUUAAUAAAUACAAUUUGUGUAAAUACAAUCAUCCUUUAGUACUUGCAUCACUUAAAACAUAACUAAGUUAACAAAAUAACAGUUGUUUAUUAAUAUAACAACAAUAAUUAAAACAUAUAUUUAAUUGUAUUUCUAUGCUUCAUGUGGGUUCUUCUAAUUUUAAAAGUUGAAAAUUGAUUACUAUAUUUUUCAGUUGCUUCUUUUUUGAAUUUUGAAAGAAAAAAUAUGUGAUGUUUUCUGCUUUUAUUAAAUAGAAUAACUAAUAUCAGAAAAGGUAAAUAACUAGAAAUAAAAGCGUGUUUGUUGAGAACAUGGCUGAAUUCUUGAAAAAACCUUUACUGGGGAAAUGAUUCAUAUCUCAUUUGGCAAAGUGUAAUAUAUGAAGUAAGUUUGAUACUGUAACUUAUAAAUGUACCUCCAAGAUAUCAAAUAUAACACGUCUAAGAUAAUUCAAGUUAAACAUAUGUAUUACUGUGUGAAUUGGCAAUUUUCAAGUUAAUCCCAUCUUUUAAUCUCUCAGGCAUGACCAGCUUUAUCCAGUCGUGAAAUGUUUUAUCACUUCGUACAUAUUAGAUUAUAAUUUAAAUAUUUUGCUCUCUUACUUUCUUAAUAAUGUAAAUAUCAUCUUAAAAAUGGAAGUUAAUGAAAACAAAGACCAAAAUAAGUAAUUAUAAAAAUUUAGCUAAUAGAAGCUGUUUAAAUGCAGGUCUUCAUGAGCAGAUCAAAAAGCUGUACCAGUGAAGGUAUUUCUGAUCUAAGAGUAAGCUUUUUGUUUGCUUUUACCUGCUUUACAGCUUCAAAUUUGGGUUCAGUUUUUCUAAUUCAAGCGUUGCAUUAACAUCACAUUUAAUGAGUUACGUGAUAGAAUUCAAAAAUUGUACUACCUGUUGACAGACCAUUGGUGUGCAAAAACCUGAAGCCUUUCAGCUAGACCUCAACCAAAAUAAGGAGCUAACUUGCAUGUCAUAUUUAUUUGAAUUUAUAUGAUAUAACAUUUUUUCUAUCAGGCAUCAGCAUUACCAAAUUAUACUAUUAACAAUUAAUUCCUCAUUGAAAACAUGUUUGUUGUUAAUUUCCUGCUAGACAGUACAUGAUUGUAUGUUUCUUUCAAAGUAAGAGGACUGCUCAAAACAAAAUGAGACCUAUGCUGUACUUACUUUGUUGCUCAUUAUACAAAUUUUCAGUCGUAUAUUAUUUAUUUAUUAAUGUCCUGUAAUACUCUCAUUGCACUUUCCUGAAUUUCCUGAGUGAUUUUAAGUUUGGCAAAGAGAGAAUAAGGUGGAUGGCACAUAACAGAAGUGCAGUGUUUUGCCAAAUAAUUGGAUACAAAAGAGUGGUGCAUGAGAUGAAGCAUUGUCAUAUACAACAUCCACGAUUGAUUCCUUCACAGUUCAGAUCUCUUUCUACACAUGGCAUCUCUCAUUCAUGUUAGAAUUCUCUGGUAGAUUUCCUUGUUAACUGUCUGAGCACAUGGUACAAAUUCAUAGUGCACAAUAUCUUUCUAAUAGAAAAACACAAUAAUCACCCAGAUGUCUGAGUGACUCAUAUGUAUGUAUAUAUAUAUAUAUAUAUAUAUAUAUAUAUAUAUUUCUUUUUUUUUCUUUUUUUUUUUUUCUUCUGCGUAUCUACAUCUCAUCUCUUACAAUGUUCGUGAGAGAGUUGUAUAUUUUUGCAAACAGGGCGUGACAGAUUUCAACUGCUUCUGGUCAAAGUUUCCUUUCCUAAAUUUGUCCAUUGCUUAAGAUGUAAGCUGAACAAAAUUGUGGGAUGCAUAAUGCACCCACAGGGAUAAUGUGUAUUAUUGAAAAAUAAAAUUAUGUGUGGAUUUUA